AGAGAGAGUCUUUGUAACUAAGU
rnacentral:miRNA from 14 species